rnacentral:rRNA from 1 species
CGGACGGGUGAGUAACACGUGGAUAACCUACCUAUAAGACUGGGAUAACUUCGGGAAACCGGAGCUAAUACCGGAUAAUAUAUUGAACCGCAUGGUUCAAUAGUGAAAGACGGUUUUGCUGUCACUUAUAGAUGGAUCCGCGCCGCAUUAGCUAGUUGGUAAGGUAACGGCUUACCAAGGCAACGAUGCGUAGCCGACCUGAGAGGGUGAUAGGCCACACUGGAACUGAGACACGGUCCAG